UACGUAGGGACCAAGCGUUGUUCGGAUUUACUGGGCGUAAAGAGUGUGUAGGCGGUGUUCCCAGUCUGUUGUGAAAUCUCCCGGCUUAACUGGGAGGGUGCAGCGGAAACUAGAAUGCUAGAGGGUGGGAGAGGUAAGCGGAAUUCCUGGUGUAGCGGUGAAAUGCGUAGAUAUCAGGAGGAACACCUGUGGUGUAGACAGCUUACUGGACCACUUCUGACGCUGAGACACGAAAGCGUGGGUAGCAAACAGG
rnacentral:rRNA from 1 species